GUAGUCAAAUUGGUGCCAAUUGAUUCCAGAUUCAAUACAAAUUCAGCCUUUUGGCACCUUUCAUUUUUAGCGAACACUCUCUUGAAAAUAUCAUUCCAAACUAGCUUGUUUGUCGUUUUCCAGCCCUUCAGCACUGUAUUAUUCUAAACUAUCUUUUUUUAGUUAAAAAAUGUGUGAAGAGAAUAGUAAAACCCAAUGAUCAAUCUGAAGAUUCAGCGAGCAAAGAGAACUUAAUGUAUCUGUGUGAUCAGUGUGAAUUUACUA